CUCCUUGCAAUCUUCUCAGACAUUCAGACCUGCCAGGAGCUAAUUAACUGCUCUGGCAGUGGGAAGAUGUGGCAGUGUGAUUCACGGUAGCUGAAUGGCUGCAAGGUAUUUAAUUUGAACAAUAGAUGAAUUAAAGGGCAGCAGUUAGCCAGAGUAUCAGCAGAUAGAGUAUGCCUACCUAAAUGGCUCUUAUUCAAAUUCAAAAUUGCCUGCCUCAAGAUUUAUAUUGGGAAUUUUUUUAAAAAACAUUAAGAUGGUCUUACAGUGCAGAUACCAGCAAAAGAAGACAUCCCUUGGUAAAAUUCUGCUUGGGGAAGUGUACCUUCGUAUUUCUGGCAUGAAGAGUGCAAGAAUUAUGAGUUGCAGGAGGCUUCUACCACAAUUUCAAAGGAGAGCCUGGAAGUCCAAGUGGCAUGUGGCAAGGUCACCAUCCUUGCAAGUUCUCUAACAGAUGAGUGUUUGCAGAUGUGAGAGUGAAGCCAAAGCUGCAAUUUGGAUGGCUGCAGGGAAGAAAGUGCAGCAGUACAGAAAACCUGUUGAGGAAAAGGUAAAGCCCAUGUGCAAAACCUCUCCCAGAGUAUGGCCUGUAGGAGUCAAUCAGUAAGGCCAUAGAAGUGUACUGUCUAGUCCUUGGGAGCUCAUAUUCUGCUAGAUUAUGCCCCAGAUGCCCAUCAUGGAGACAGGAUCUGAUUCUGAUGAGUUUCAAUCUUGUUUUGGUUCAGUCUUCCUUACCUUACUGUGUAUUUGUUACUCCUUUCUAUAAUAGUAAUAUGAACUUUGUGCAAUUGUAUCUUGGAAAUAUACAACUUGAUUUUUUUUCCAAUGGCUGUAUUUGCCUUCAGUUUGAGAGGGGACUUUGAACUCGGACUUUUGAAUUAUGCUGAGAUGGUUAAGCUUUGGAGAUGGACCAAAUUCAUUUAGUAUUAUGAGAUGAACAUGAACCUUUGAGGACCAAGGAUGGAAUGCUAUGGUUUUGAUAAAGGUCCCCUAAAGGUCCCCAACCUGUGGUGUUAUUGGAAAGUAGUAGAGCUUCAAAGAGGUGAAGUUAUAUCACUGGGGACCUACCCUUAAAGGAAAUGUUGGAACUCCAAUCUCUUUCCUUUCUUCUUUGAGUCCUGACACCAUGAUAUGAACUUCUUUCAUCACAUGCUUUUGUCAUGAUAUACAGCCUUGUCACUAUCCUAAGAGCAACAGGGACAUCUGACCAUGAUAGAAACAUCCAAAACUAUGAGCAAAAUUAGACUUUUCCUCUUUAUAAAUUGAUUAUCUCAGAGACUGGUAGUGUAGCUCAAUCUUAGAAUACUUGACUAAAAUUUGUAAGUCCAUGGAUUUAAUUCCCAGCCCUGCAAAGACAAUACACAACAAAGGAAAACAACAAAAGAGAUGACCAGAGAUUAAAUGAAAAAUUCAGACUGCAAAUUGCUAUGUUAUUGUAAUACUGUUUCAUAGUUUUACUUUUUAUUUGAAAAAUUAUAAUAUCUUUCCUGAACUACCAAAUUUUGUUGAUAGUGGAGUGGUGAGACAUAACUCUAAAUGAGGGACUGAAAGAUAUAGAACACAAAUCAGGAUAUAAUUGCUACAUGAAAUCUCCACAAGCAUAUAAACUCACCCAAAAUCUAAAUAAAACACAGGAACUAAACAUAGGAACUAAAAUUACAUGAUUUUUUAAUCUUCUGGAGACUCUCCUUCAAGGUUCUGUGAAUACCCAUUCAUUUCCUUUUCCAAAUGCACUCAGCCCUUAUCACCAUGACUAUGUGAUUGACAGGUGGUAGUUCCUGCAGGGAAGGACAAUGUGGGCAGUGAUGAUGAAUUGACUUAUAGUUCAUGCAGAAGUUGAAUAACCUUAUGCACCUCAUUAGAAGUUUGAAUAAACACAAGUUUUAGUUUAUUCUGACAACUCAGCAAGAAACCACAUCAGCAAGAAUGAAAUGGGCCUCUAGGUAUGGGGGCAUGACAGUAAUAGGAAGGUAGUUUUCUUCCUUACACGAUAAAUAUAUUUUCUAGAUGUUUUUAAUACUUAAAAACUACUCCUGAGGAGAACAUAAUCUGCAACUCUAAAUCAUUGGCACAUAACCUGAAGAUUAGAGAAUAAAAGGAAUUUUAAGUAUGUAUCAAAGUUUAUUGUUAGUUUUAUGAUAGACUAAAUGAAAUAUAAAAAAGCAACUCUAUAGCUGCAGAAAACAUAAAUGGGUAAAUCUGACCUAAACACCAUAGCACAGGGCCAAGUGGGUGAAGUAGAUCAUUCUGACCAUCCUAAGUGCUCCAUGGGCUUUAAAUAUUUUAUACCUUCCCUAUUUGUUAAUGUUCCUGGUCAAACUAGGAUAUAAAUUGGAAUUCAGCAUGCUGGCUGCAGCUAUAGCUCAGGAAAUCUAGCAUGUAUUUAAUAGACAAGGGAUAAAACAAGCUAGUUUUUAAACUUGGUUCUCAGUCACCUAUUUUUAAACAUAAUAUUUUUUAAACCUUUAUGCCUUCAUUAUUUUGUUGCAAAUUAAUCCCAUCAUCAUUAUAUAAAUUCAAACACGACAGAAUGUAAACUAUAUAAAGUACAAAGUGCAAGACCUCUUUGCUUAACCACUCUUUUCUCUUGCCCAGAAAAUCAAUUAACAAUUGGUUAUGUGGCAUUACAGGUUCUUUAUAUACAUAUUUUGCUUUCACAAAAUUAGCAUUCAUUAUAACAUGAGAUUUCCAUAAUGAGCUUUUGGUCAAACAGUCACUGUCUAAGAAUAUUUUGGUCUAUAAGGAUGGAUUUCUACAAUAAUUCCUGAACCUUCCAUCUUGUGCAAUAACUUCUGAGAGUGAUUAAAGUAGAAAAUAAAUUAUAUUAUUUAAGUAGUAUAUAAUACCUUGAAUGAAAAAGAGACUAAAAAGAUGCCAAGACUAUAAAGAUACAAAAUGAAUACAAUAAACAUUGACAUGGUUUAUUGUCAUGAGCCGUCCAUGGGCUGUGUGUGCAUUAUGUUGCACAUAGUGUUGCACACUAAUGGAGGGAUAAAUCUGGCAUUGGGAACCUCCUAUGGUACCCCCACAGAGAUUGAACACCUGAUACAAGUGAACUUACCCUUCAACCUCUGCCAGAAAUCCCACACAGCACCUGAGACAGGAAGAUGUGACCUGCCAAGAUGUCAAUCAACCUGCUGACUGCAAGACACCAUAAAGCAAGACUUUGCCCUUAAAAUUUAUCCCUGCCUUUAAUGUUCCCCAAUAUAAAUAAAGCAAGCACAGGCUCCA